AUUGAACGCUGGCGGCAGGCUUAACACAUGCAAGUCGAGCGGGGAAGGGUAGCUUGCUACCUGACCUAGCGGCGGACGGGUGAGUAAUGCUUAGGAAUCUGCCUAUUAGUGGGGGACAACAUUCCGAAAGGAAUGCUAAUACCGCAUACGCCCUACGGGGGAAAGCAGGGGAUCUUCGGACCUUGCGCUAAUAGAUGAGCCUAAGUCAGAUUAGCUAGUUGGUGGGGUAAAGGCCUACCAAGGCGACGAUCUGUAGCGGGUCUGAGAGGAUGAUCCGCCACACUGGGACUGAGACACGGCCCAGACUCCUACGGGAGGCAGCAGUGGGGAAUAUUGGACAAUGGGCGCAAGCCUGAUCCAGCCAUGCCGCGUGUGUGAAGAAGGCCUUUUGGUUGCAAAGCACUUUAAGCGAGGAGGAGGCUACUUGGAUUAAUACUCUAGGAUAGUGGACGUUACUCGCAGAAUAAGCACCGGCUAACUCUGUGCCAGCAGCCGCGGUAAUACAGAGGGUGCGAGCGUUAAUCGGAUUUACUGGGCGUAAAGCGUGCGUAGGCGGCUUUUUAAGUCGGAUGUGAAAUCCCUGAGCUUAACUUAGGAAUUGCAUUCGAUACUGGGAAGCUAGAGUAUGGGAGAGGAUGGUAGAAUUCCAGGUGUAGCGGUGAAAUGCGUAGAGAUCUGGAGGAAUACCGAUGGCGAAGGCAGCCAUCUGACCUAAUACUGACGCUGAGGUACGAAAGCAUGGGGAGCAAACAGG
rnacentral:rRNA from 1 species